rnacentral:rRNA from 1 species
GAGGGGGAUCUAACAGGAUUCUCCUAGUAACGGCGAGUGAACGGAGAUUAGCCCAUCACCGAAGUCUAUUCCCUGUUGUGGACAGGACAAUGUGGUGUUCGGGUGUGCACCUGGGAGCGCUUGCCUACUCGAAGUCCAACUCCGAUUAUGGCUAGGACCAUGCCCAGAGCGGGUGAAAGGCCCGUUCGGGUAGGUUGUUGUUAUUUGAAGCGCUCCUCAGAUGUGCAUGCUCUCGAGUCGGAUUGCUUGAGAAUGCAGUCCAAAGUGGGUGGUAAACUCCAUCCAAGGCUAAAUACUGGCACGAGUCCGAUAGUAGACAAGUACCGUGAGGGAAAGUUGAAAAGUACUCUGAAGAGAGAGUAAAUAGCACGUGAAGCCGCUUGCAGGGAAGCUGGUGGAGUCAAGCUUCAUGUCCUUUGGAUUGUCUGCAGAACCAUCGUUGUUGUGUGGGACGUGAUAUCGAUGAGCCUGUAAAGGGUUCGGUGCAUUUCGGUGCACACCAAGUCGUUCUGGUGAGGGCGUUUGGGUCGGUAUCUAUCUCCCUGGUUCUGUGGCUUCAUCCAUUGUGACAUACAUCACGGUCAAUAAUGGUUCGUACUGUGUGAAUACUUAACUGUACUUUGGCGGGCAUUCGUGUCUGUUGGGUGCGGAAUGGCAGGUGGCUUGUGCGUGCACUCGUGUGCGUAUCUUGCUUAUAGUGAUUUUGAUCUGCUAGUGUUCAUGUGCAAAUUUAACAGUAUCGGCCUUAUUGUUCUUAUAGCGGGGCGUACUCCAAGGAGUGCGUCUCAUUGAGAACCGUGAUGCUGAGGUAGACCUUCCACCCGACCGCUGUAAAAAACCGGGGACCAAAUUU